CUGCCGAGUCGUCGCUGCCAUCCUGCUCCUUCCCGGUCUCCAGGGAUGAAGCUGGAAAGGGAAGGUUUCCUGAAACCAAGGGACUGGGGUCAGGCUCUGCCAGAGAAAAGUAAAUGAGAAGGAGUCUCAACUGACAGCGAGAAGGCGUGCUCUUGUGGUGCAGAAGCUCAUGUUCCCUGUCAGAUUCCUCAAUUUAAAAAUUCUUCAAAUGUCAAACCCAAAUCCAUAUCAGAGAAUGUGAAGUCCUGAGGUUGGAGGCUGUAGUUUUCACUUAACAUUGUUCAUUGAUCUCUGAGUUCGAGGCCAGCCUGGUCUACAGAGCAAGAUCCGGGACAGGCACUGUCCUGUUAACUGCCUAAACAUCAUCCAGCAGCAGAAACUACCAGAUGGACCCCACACCUGGUGAGUGACCACAGCUCUCCUCGUGGGUUGUCCUGUCUUUAAGUUGUAAAUCAGCAGUUCCUACCAGAAAAGCCACCUUGACUCUGCUUGCCUGGACCGAGGGAAGUCAUGAACUAUCUUAUCUAGACUCAGCACUGCCCUCCUGUGUGGAGUGUAUCUGUGCUUUACCCCAAUUGUUCUUGCUUCUCCCCACCCACUCCUAACAUGGCUUAGCAGGACCGUGUCCCAAGUUAGCAACAGAAUUAAAAACAUUUUGUAAAGGGAGGCUUGCUACACUGUAAAUUUCACUUAUGGGUUCCUAUUUUAACCAGAGUUCAAAGUCUAGACACAUAUUCACUGCACAAACAUUAGAAAAUAGAUUUAAAUUCCUGAAUGCUCAUCAGUAGGGGUAAGAAUUAUUUAAAAUUUACCUUCUGUACAUAUCCCUAAACAAACAUGUACCCUUCACAUUUAUCAUUACAGAAAAUAGAUUUGGAUAGAGUUUGGGCAAUAAUACUGUUGUCUCUUGUACAAACCAGACACACACACAGCUCAUUAUGGAAAACUCAAGAACCAAAUAGAUUCAGAUAAUCUGUGUCUAUACCUGAACUCAUUAUUACCACCUGAAUUUGGUUUGGAAUUUGAAAACCAAAUUUAGAUGGAAAGAUAAUACUCAUGAAUAUAUGUGCUAUGUGCACAUUUUCCAAGUUGGAUAAGUAACGAUUUAGUUGUCUGCUCCCCAACCAAUCACAUGCCAUGGCACUACUUCCAGCUCAAUGUGUAUAGCUAGUACCAUUUCACUUAGUGGCUUAAAUCAAUACCCUCUCACUAAAUAUUUAAUAUGGUUUCCAAUUUUAAACAGUGCUGAAAUGUAGACUGCUGCAUACAUCUUGCACAGUUGUCCUAUGCUUACUUAGAAGUGGAGGUUUCUGGGACCAGAGAUACAUAAACCAAUAGACUAGAAGGCCCCAAGAUUCAUUUAGAUACAUGCAAAGGCCCUGAGGUUCAUUCAGAUACAAAGAACUCAGUGUGAAAAAUUAAGAGCCCGGGGCCAGAAUAGAUUCUUCAAUAAAUGUAUUUGGAUGCUAACUGGUGGUUUGAAAAACAAACAAACAAACAAACAAAAAAAACCUUAUCUUACACUGAAAUAAAAUUCUAGACCUGCUCUAUCCAAUUAAUUGAAAUAUUACCAGCCCUUGACUGUCACAACGAUCAGUGGCUGCCCCUGGGCAGCUGAGGUACAGGACACUCCCUUUAUGCAGAGUCGCUCUAGAUGAAUUAAAAGCCACUAUUUUUCUCCCAAUAUAAUGUAAAGCCUUAAAAAAGACCAGAAAAAUAGUGGUGGUCAAUAUUUAGAACAUGUGCAUACCAUGUGCUACCAGAGGAAUGCCCUCCUAAGCAAAUUCCAAACAUUCAAACAUAAAGAGAAAAAAUGAAUCAACUGACUGCCUAUGUAGUAACAAUUCUAAAUUGUGUUUAAGAAAAGCCUCCUUUAAAACAUGGUAAAUAGUAAUCUGAGAAAAUAUUUACAGCAUAAAACUGCAAAAUAAAUUUAAGACACAAAAAGCUAUUAGCAAAAGACAAAUAUCUCUAGAAUAUUGGGCAAAAGAUAGAAUGUGCACUUUACUUGCUUAUGAAAAGAUGUUUAAUCUCACUAAUAAAUAAAAAAAAUAUAAAUCUAGGGGCUGGAGAAAUGGCUCAGAGGUUAAGAACACUGGCUGCUCUUCCAGAGGUCCUGAGUUCAAUUCCCAGCAGCCACAUGGUGGCUCACAACCAUCUAUAAUGAGAUCUGGUGCCCUCUUCUGGCGUGCAGGCAGAACACUGUAGACAUAAUAAAAUAUUAAAAAUGUCUUGAUUUCAUGUAAAACUAAAGACAAGAACUAAAAUAUCACAAGUCCCACUUUUUCUUUGGA